UACGGGGGGGGGCAAGCGUUGUUCGGAAUUACUGGGCGUAAAGGGCUCGUAGGCGGCCAACUAAGUCGGAUGUGAAAUCCCCAGGCUUAACCUGGGAACUGCAUCCGAUACUGGAUGGCUUGAAUCCGGGAGAGGGAUGCAGAAUUCCAGGUGUAGCGGUGAAAUGCGUAGAUAUCAGGAGGAACACCAGCGGCGAAGGCGGCGCUCUGGGCCGGUACUGACGCUGAGGAGCGAAAGCGUGGGUAGCAAACAGG
rnacentral:rRNA from 1 species